rnacentral:lncRNA from 1 species
AAAAAUUGUAAAACGCCCUAUACAUUUUUCGUAAACCCCUGAAAGGGAAAAAGAAAAAAAUUCUGUGUCAAGAAAAUGCCUUCUCUGUUUUCUCUUCUUAUUUUUUAUUUAUUUAUUAUUUUUUUUUUCUUUCCCGAAAUCGAUAAUCGACUUCUACAGUUUUGGAGUUUUACGAACAGCAGAAAGAAAGUGGAAAUUGCGAUUACGGUUUUACGGAAAAAAAAAGAAAAACAGUUUCUUGACGUUUACAUAGAAUUUUUUAUCUCAUAAACUGUAUGGGCUCUUUUAUUUUAUUUUGGG